rnacentral:tRNA from 1 species
GGGGAUAUAGCUCAGUUGGUAGAGUGCUUGCCUUGCAUGCACAAGGCCCUGGGUUCAGUCCCCAGCACCCACC